CCAAUCAACAGUGUAAAAUUGUCCCUAUUUCUCUAAAGCCUUACCAGCCUCUGUUGUUUCUUGACUUUUUCAUUAUUAUAAUUCAA